rnacentral:rRNA from 1 species
UACGGGGGGAGCAAGCGUUGUUCGGAUUUACUGGGCGUAAAGGGCGCGUAGGCGGCGCAACAAGUCACUUGUGAAAUCUCCGGGCUUAACUCGGAACGGUCAAGUGAUACUGUUGUGCUAGAGUGCGGAAGGGGCAACUGGAAUUCUCGGUGUAGCGGUGAAAUGCGUAGAUAUCGAGAGGAACACCUGCGGCGAAGGCGGGUUGCUGGGCUGACACUGACGCUGAAGCGCGAAAGCUAGGGGAGCGAACGGG